CCACCCACCACCACCCACCUCCGUGCCCAACCCUGGCCCGGCCACCGUCACCUGUGGUGUGGAUGCGAGUAACAGGCAUCCGGGUCCAGCACAUGGCGGAUGCCUAAUACAAAUGUGCCUAAAUGGUGAAAUGAAUGAUGCCACACCAUGAACCAGAUUUCAUUCAUUGAAAUCAAUCAGCAGGCCCAUCAGGAGUAGCAAUGGAUUGGGAAUGAACAGUUGUGGCUUCAAGUCCUGCAUCUUUGGUAUUUUCUGUGUGAUUGCAGGAAUCCAGAUUGUGAAAACGAAGACCCAAUGAUGUUACAGAAGAGAAUUGUAACUUUGGAUGUCAGUGAGUCUCACAGACAGCACACAUUUAUUCCAUCAUCUAUGUGUCCAUUUCACAAACACUUUCUGAGUGUCUACUAUGCCAGGAAAAAGAAGAUUGGGAGGGGGCACCUGCAUCUGGGGAGGAGAGGAUGAGUCCCAAAGGGUAACUACUAUGCUCCACAAUGAUACUCCUUUAAAGAGCUUCAGCUCUCCCUGAGAUGGGCUCCCCAGUUAAUUCCAACUUUAGAACUGUCCUCUUUCUUUGUUGAUAAAAGUUAGGAGCAAAAAAAGCAAUAAAGAUAGACCCCCUCUACAGGUGAAGCCGAUUUCUGAUACUUAAUGUUUAACAGAAGCAACACACAUGCACACACACACACACACACACACACACACACACAGGAAAACUCGCCAGCAGAUCCCUGCAAUUCAACACUCUAAAUGAUCACCGACUGGAAAUGGAAACCCAAGUUAUGAGUGAGAUUUACCACACCCAACACGUCCUGCCGAUUGGAAACUCUGGACAAUAUCAAAAGACAGAGGAAACUAAGGCUUGAUGAAGCAUGGAUAAUUAAGAUCAAACCAGGACCAAAGAGGAGGAGACUCCAAAGAAUA